GAGGAUAGAGCUCAGUGGUAGAGCGCGUGCUUAGCAUGCAUGAGGUCCUGGGUUCGAUCUCCAGUACCUCCA
rnacentral:tRNA from 1 species